ensembl:antisense
CCUGGGGGCGGCGCGCAGUGAGACCCCGACCUCCCCCAGGCUCAAGGUCCCAGGUGUUCGGCUAUGACAAGAUGAAGCUGGAUGUCUCCUUCCCAGACGCUGGUGAAUAGUCCAAGGGAUAAUUGGUCCGAACCAUCGUUGGGAACAGCAAACAAGGCUUUCCCUUGGAAGGUCCCAGCAAGGUGUCUGGACCCACGGCCAAGUGCACCUGCUGUUCUGACCAAGGAAAGCUGGAGAGAGGCAGGAUGAGCCUGUCUGCAGGCACAUUACGGAUGCCAGUCUGAGUCCUCAACUCCUCGGUUAUCAUGAGCCAAGGAGAAAAGGAGAUUCCUGGACUGACAGAUACUCCUAGGCCCAAAAGAACUGCAGAAUCGGAAAGCUUUUCAGUCUUUCCAAAGAAGCUGAUGGUGUCAGCCAACACGUUGUGAGAAAGCAAGCAAAGAAGGGAAGAAGCCCAGGACCAGAGCCCCCAAGAUCCAAGACCCAGCAUCUCCUUACUCCACCUGUCCUGCAACAAAACACCAAUGUAUUGUUCAGUAGAGACUAGGUGCUAUGGAGAUGGACAGAGGCUGUAGAGCUAAGCGUUGCUAUGGAGACCGAGGAGGGGCUGCAGAGCUAAGCCUUGGGCCAAGAGAAUGAAGGAAGCCACAGAAAAAAAAUGCCAGGAUCAGACUGCCAAGAGAUGUAGGCUGCUUCUACCUCCAAGUCAAAGUCCAGUAAAAAUGAGUAACUACAAAUGAGCCAACCUUCAAAAAAUACUUUGUUGGGUCAGCCAGGUGCUCAGUGGGUAAAGGCACUGUGUCCAAGUCUGCCAAGACCUGAGAUCCAUCCCUGGGACCUACCUGGUGGAGGAAGAGAACUGACUCCAGCAAGUUGUCCUCUGUCUCCCACACAUGCACUAUAGCUCUCACAUGCACAUACCCAAUAAAUAAAUAGAUUUAAGACACCUUAAAAUUAAAAAGAUUUUUUUAAUUAAACCC